rnacentral:rRNA from 1 species
CCUACGGGCGGCAGCAGUGGGGAAUUUUGCGCAAUGCUCGUAAGAGUGACGCAGCGACGCCGCGUGAAUGACGAAGGCCUUCGGGUCGUAAAGUUCCUUCGACAGGGAAGAAAAUGCCUAUAAGUAACUGUGUAUGUAUUGACGGUACCUGUAUAAGCAGCCCCGGCUAACUCCGUGCCAGCAGCCGCGGUAAUACGGAGGGGGCGAGCGUUGUUCGGAGGGACUGGGCGUAAAGAGCACGUAGGCGGUGUUGUAAGGCAUUAGUCAAAGACUAGAGCUCAACUUUAGUAAGGCUAGUGAUACUAUACGACUAGAGUAUCAGAGAGGAUUGCAGAAUUCCUGGUGUAGCGGUGAAAUGCGUAGAUAUCAGGAGGAAUACCGUUAGCGAAGGCGGCAAUCAGGCUGGAAACUGACGCUGAGGUGCGAAAGCGUGGGUAGCAAACAGGAUUAGAUACCCCUGUAGUC